rnacentral:rRNA from 1 species
GUCUUUUAAUUGAAGUCUGGUAUGAAUGGUUGGAUGAGAAAUUUACUUUCUUUAUUUUAAAAAAAUAAAUUGAUUUUUAAGUCAAAAAGCUUAAAUUUAUUUAGAGGACGAGAAGACCCUAUAGAACUUUACUUAUCUUAUUUUGGUUUUUAUUUGUAAAUGACUUUUUAUCACUUUUAGAUAAGUUUUAUUGGGGUGAUAAAAAAAAUUUUUUAACUUUUUUUACUUUUUUCAUUUAUUUAUGUUUUUUUGAUCCUUUUUUAUGGAAAAAAAGUCUAAGUUACCUUAGGGAUAACAGCGUUAUUAUUUUAGAGAGUUCAUAUUGAUAAAAUAGUUUGCGACCUCGAUGUUGGAUUAAAAUUAGUAUCGGGUGUAGAAUAUUGAUUACUGGGUCUGUUCGACCCUUAAUUUUUUACA